rnacentral:rRNA from 1 species
GGUUAAGCGAACAAGCGUACACGGUGGAUGCCCUGGCAGUCAGAGGCGAUGAAGGACGUGCUAAUCUGCGAAAAGCGCCGGUAAGGUGAUAUGAACCGU